UUAGAUACCCUGGUAGUCCACGCCGUAAACGGUGGGCGCUAGUUGUGCGAACCUUCCACGGUUUGUGCGACGCAGCUAACGCAUUAAGCGCCCCGCCUGGGGAGUACGAUCGCAAGAUUAAAACUCAAAGGAAUUGACGGGGCCCCGCACAAGCAGCGGAGCAUGCGGCUUAAUUCGACGCAACGCGAAGAACCUUACCAAGGCUUGACACAUACAGGAAUACGGCAGAGAUGUCGUAGCGGUAAAACGUCUGUAUACAGGUGGUGCAUGGUUGUCGUCAGCUCGUGUCGUGAGAUGUUGGGUUAAGUCCCGCAACGAGCGCAACCCUCGUUCUGUGUUGCCAGCAUUUAGUUGGGGACUCACAGGAGACUGCCGGGGUUAACUCGGAGGAAGGUGGGGAUGACGUCAAAUCAUCAUGCCCCUUAUGUCUUGGGCUGCACGCAUGCUACAAUGGCUGGUACAAACGGCUGCAAUACCGCAAGGUGGAGCGAAUCCGAUAAAGCCAGUCUCAGUUUGGAUUGGGGUCUGCAACUCGACCCCAUGAAGUCGGAGUUGCUAGUAAUCGUAGAUCAGCAACGCUACGGUGGAUACGUUCCCGGGGCUUGUACACACCGCCCGUUACGUCACGA
rnacentral:rRNA from 1 species